AGUCCUGAUCACAGGGGAUUUCUUAGCUAUGAUCGUGCAGCCCACCACAUUCAGAUUUCUCGUAAUACUUACUUCAGGAGGCAACAAUCUACAUCAGUCUCAAUGCCUCUCUCCUCUCUACCACCAGUUGUUGAUCCAGUUACUCCAUCUAUCCUUGGAAUGAUGCAGGAGUUGUUGAUUUGAAGCGGCUCCUCAACGAAUCUUUCAAGAUGAAGGACUUAGGUCCCUUGAUUUAUUUUUUGGG